UUUAGAUAGAAGAAUCAGCAAUGUUCCAUUUUUAAAGUAUUACUGAAGUGUUGAAAGAGUGGUAAUAAUUUUAGAAGAGGAAUACAUUUUUGUCAGAAAGUAGCAGCCCAUUUCCACCUGCGUGGCAUGAUGCUGUGUACAAAGCACUACAUAGGUAUAGUGCAAGCUUUUCCAUACCUCUCUGCUCAUGUAUUCAUAACCAGAACCAGGAGGACCAUCUGCAAAGGAUGAGAAGAUUUUCAACUGAUGCAGCUCCAGUGAAGUCAAGGUACAAUUAUGCUGUACUAAUAUAUACGUCACUCUGUGAACCAAUGCUGAUUUACUCCUGUCAUUUGCUGUGUUGAACUGAGUGAA